rnacentral:lncRNA from 1 species
UUUAUGAAUGAGAGGGAGCAGAGAGAGAGGGAGAAGCUUACUCCCCACUGAGCAGGAAGUCUGAUGUGGGACUGGAUCCUGGGACCCUAGGAUCAUGACCUGAGCCAAAGGCAAACGUUUAACCAACUGAAACUGGACCACUUUCUUAUACCAUGUUCAAAAAAAAGCUUGAAAUAGAUUAAAUGCAUAACUGUAAGACCUGAAACCAUAAAACUCAAAAAAGAAACAUUGGCAGUAAAUUCUUGGACAUCAGUGUUAGCAAUAUCUCUUUUGUGGGGGAACUGUCUUCUCAGGCAAAGAUAACAAAAACAAAAAUAAGCAACUGAAACUACAUCAACUAAAAAGCUUUUGCACAACAAAAGGAAUCAUCAACAAAACCAAAAAGGCAACCCACCAAAUGGGAGUAGAUAUUUGCAAAUGAUAUGUUUAAUAAAGGAUUAAUAUCCAAAAUAUAGAAAGAACUCAGACAACUCAAGAACAAGAAAACAAAUAAUACAGUUUAAAUAUGGGCAGAGAAUAUGGUAGACUUUUUUCCAAAAAAAAAGACAAACAGAUGGCUCACAAACACUGAGAAGAUGCUCAACAUUACUAUUCAUCAGGGAAAUGAAAAUCAAAACCACAAUGAGAUAUUACUUCACAUCAGUCAGAACAGCUAGUAUCAAAAAGACAAGAAAUAACAAGUGUGGGCAAGGAUGUGGAGAAAAGGCAACCCUCAUACACUGCUGAUGGGAAUAUAAAUUGGUGCAGCCAUAAUAGAAAACAGUACAGAGCUUCCUCAAAAUAUUAAAAAAUAUAAACCCAUAAAAUCCAGCAAUUCCCCUGCUAGGUAUGUACCCCAAGAAAACAAGAAACACUAAUUUCAAAAGAUAUCUGUAUCCCUCUAGUUAUUGCAGCAUUACUUACAAUAGCCAAGAUAUGGAAACAGCCAGUGUGCAAUGAUAGAUGAAUGGAUAAAGAUGUAGUAUACAUGUUAUACAUAUAUAAUGGAUAUUACUUACUCAUAAAAAAGAAUAAACUCUUGCCAUUUGGACAAUGUGGAUGGACCUAGAGGGCAUGAUACUAAGUGAAAUAAGUCAGACAAAAAAGGUAAAUAUCAUAUGAUUUCACUUCUAAGUAGAAUCUAAAAAACAAAACAAAUUAACCAACAAAACAGAAACAGACUCAUAGACUCAGGAAAUCAACAGGUGGUUGGUUACCACAGGGAAGUGGGGUGGAGAGGUGGUUCGUGAAAUAAGGGAAAGAGAUUAAGAGAUUAAGAGAUUAUGACAACUUCCAGUCAUAAAAUAAGUAAGUCAUGGAGAUAUAAAAUAUAGAAUGGGAAAUACAGUCAAUAAUAUUAUAAUAAAUUUGUAUGGUGACGGAUGAUAACUAUAUUUACCAUGGUGAGCAUUUCAUAAUGUAUAUAAGUGUUAAAUCACUAUGUUAUACAUUUGAAUAUAUUGUAUGUCAAUUAUAUGUCAAUUAAAAAUAUAUGAAAAUUUAAAAAUAUAAAUGAAUGAAAAAAUAAUGUAUUUUGCUCUUUAUCUCUCUGCUUGCUCAAUCUUCUAUAUUCUUGAUAAUUUUUUUCUUUAUCAAUUUCCAGAGGUGUAUUAAAAUUUCCCACUAAAUGUGUGGCAACAUCUUUUUAAAAUUCAAAUCCACUUUUUUAAAAAGAUUUAUUUAUUUACUUUACUGUUUUUUAAAAUAUUUAUUACUUUAGAGUGAGAGAAUGAGAGAGGGGCAUGGUGAGAAAAUCCCAAAUGGACUCCACGCUGAAUGCAGAGCCAACUCUGGACUCAAUCUCACCACCCCGGGAUCAUGACAUAAGCUGAAACUAAGAGUUGGAUGCUUAACUGACUGUGCUACCCAAAUACCCCUCAAAUCCACUUAUUUUUGUACAUUUUAAGAAUAUGCUAUAACAUGCAUAUGUAUUUUGAAGGUAUACAUUUUUUCUGAUGUUAGCCUCUAAUCAUUAUGAAAUACUCAUCUUAUUGUUAAAUAUUGAAUUCGGUCUUCCAUUUUACUUCUGUUUGUAAUUGCUACCUUGUGUUUGCUUUACUGUCAUUUCAUAUUUUGAGUUGAAUGUUUAUUUUGUAUUGAAUUACUCUAUUAUUAAUCUCUUACUUCUUCUACAAUUACUCUAGAGAUUAUAAUACGUACCCAGGCAUGCACUUAGAGAUGAAUAUCCAUGACUAUUUAAAUUAGUACUUUAUUUCCUCCAGGAAAAUGCAAGGAUUUUAGAAUACUUUAAGUCUAUUACUGUCCACCUCUUCCCAACUUAUGUACCUUUGUUGUAAUGUAUUUUAUCUAUAAAAAUGUUUUAAGCCUGUAAGCCAUUACUGUUUUUAGAGAAGUCAAAAUUUGUUUAGAUUUAUCUACAUAUUCGCCUUUACUAUUGGUUACCAUUACUUCUUAAUAUCUGAGAUCACAUCUAGGAUUAUUUGCCUUCUAUUUGAAGGAACAUAUUCUAUUAUCUUCCUUACUGUAGGUCUAAUAAUGAAGAAUCUUUGUAUUUUCUGUGUGUUUAAAAAUAUCUUUAAAGAAAAUUGGAAGAGCAUGAGUCCCACUCUAAAAAUCCAGAUCAACUGCAAAAUAAGUUUUCUAGAUUUCAUGAGAGAGAUAAACACACAGAAGCCAAAAAGGAUGAAUUCCACAGAGGUGAAGUCCCUUUGAGAAAAGACAAAGUACAGAUUGUCUCUUCUGUGGCAAAGUAUAAGAACUGUAGCUACCAUACAAAUGGGUAAGGAAAAAUAAGCUGAAAUUUUAAUUUAUCUCUUGAGUCUAGGUAUAUGACAAUGUUAGAACCCCAGGAUAUCCCAGACCCAGACUGAAGUCACACUCACAUUCAGCUUUCCAUGGAUCUCUCCCAGGUAUACAUAUGAAAAUAGGAGGCAAGGAAUCAGAAAAACCCUUCCUCGGUGGUGCAAGCAUGCAAUCAGAGUAUGAUCACUGCUUAAACACAGAGAACAAAAGUCCCAAACUGUGCCGGAGAAGCAGGAAUCCCCAGUGCUCCCAUAGCAUAGGUAAGAACUCUUUAUUUCAUAUUCAUCUUUGCAGGAUAUUUUUCAAUGACCAAGUUGACAAUAAUUUCUUUCAUUGUUAUAGAAAUACAAUCUCCUGAUUUUUCUGGUUUCUACUAUUUCUGUCAGUCUUAUUUUUGCUCUUUUGAUAGUAAUUUCUCUUUUGAAAUUUCAAGUUAUAUUGCUGUCUUUGGCGUUCAAAAGUUUUAAGUUUUUUAAUCAUUCUAUUUUCUCCUAUUUCUUAAAAAAGGAAUUUUUUAAGCUAAAUGUUCCACUAAGGCCUGCUUUACAUGUUCACAGGUUUUAUAUGUAAUAUUUUAUUGACAUUCCAUUCAAAGCAUAUGAAAAUGUUAUUUGUAGUGCUGUUUGUUUUAUUUCCUGAUCUGAGGGAAUAUUUUAGCUAUUCCUUAGUUAUUGUUUCAUUUUUAUUGUGAUAUAAUCAGAUUUCAUAAUGCAAACCUAACGUCAACACAUCAUAAUGUAAAUGUCAACACAUCAUAAUUUUUUUUCUUUUGUGUACAUAUACUUUCAAUUUGCAGAAAAGCAUACUCAGGAAUGAAGUGUAGUUCUAGUCAUUUACCUUUUCAGUCAUUGUCAUUGCAGAUUCAUUAAUAGAAAUACUAUAAUCAAAAAUUGCUAAAAUGAACAGAUUGAUCCUGGCUGCUUUAGUUUCACUGUUUUAAGUAUAAAUAAUCCUGAAGAAGGAUAAAGGUUUAUUGCUGAUAUCCCAGACUUCAGUCUCAUUCAGUUCUUCUCACCACAAUGACUACAUUAAAAAGUAGUUCAAAUUAUUUACAUGCUCAAAUCCUUCAGUAUCAUCCCAUCGCAUGCUAAAAAAAAAAUCCAGAUUAUCUUCAAAGCCCUAUAUCAUCUUGCCCUGCCACUCUUCCCUCAGCCAUCACAUACUUCAUUGGACAGAUCAAGAUCAUUUCUGUUUCAUUGAUUUUCUAUUUGUUCUUCUCUCUAGACAAGUCCAUAACACUUGCCAUAGGAAGGUCUUUAGAUCUUCCAAGGCUGGCAUCUUCUUACUACUCAAGUUUCAGGGUUCAGUGGAUGCUCCUGGAUCGUGGAUGCACUGGGCUCCCUGGAGGAUUGGCUGCUGGAACAGGUUAGCCUGGAGGAGGUUCAACUAUCCUUCUACAACUACAGAAGAGCUGUUACCAGCAGAGAGAUCCUUGGAGCAGUUAAGAGAGAUCCUUUCUGAAGAGCUUUUGUGUAAACGAAGUGUUCUGAAUGGUUCUGUUGAAAGGAUUGCACUUGUCAAAAAUAAUCAGAUAGGUCAGAGGACUGAGUUGGAAGACAAGGUAUCUGAUAAACUCAACAGGAGUCUUGGUGCUACAUACUUGGUCUCUGGGGCCUGUGUUUUUGGCCUCUGACCUAAUUUGUGGGUGGGGGGAAAUAUAAAGGCAUUUUCUCUUAAAAAAAUUUAUCAUUUCAUUUUAUAAUUAACUUCUAUUUAAUUUUAUUCGUGGCACUUUUUAUUAUUUCAAAUAUUUGGUUCUUUAUUUGUUUAGUUACCUAUCUUCCACCUCUAGAAUGUAGUAUAUAAAAGAACAAGGGUCAAUCUGUCUCAUUCCAUAAUACAUAAACUUAACCCACCACAGAAAAUUGUGCUUGAUAUAUAAUAAAUGCUCAGCUAACACUUUACGUUUGUGAAUAUCCACAAUUUCAUUUUCUGCUCUGUAUGGAGAAUAUUCUGUCUCU